rnacentral:ncRNA from 1 species
GUGGGACAUCCCUCCCCAACGAGGGACAUAUAUCUGUGAGGAUACGA